UACGUAGGGUCCGAGCGUUGUCCGGAAUUACUGGGCGUAAAGAGCUCGUAGGUGGUUUGUCGCGUUGUUCGUGAAAACUCACAGCUCAACUGUGGGCGUGCGGGCGAUACGGGCAGACUAGAGUACUGCAGGGGAGACUGGAAUUCCUGGUGUAGCGGUGGAAAUGCGCAGAUAUCAGGAGGAACACCGGUGGCGAAGGCGGGUCUCUGGGCAAUAACUGACGCUGAGGAGCGAAAGCGUGGGGAGCGAACAGG
rnacentral:rRNA from 1 species